rnacentral:lncRNA from 1 species
AGAUGACAAAGAUUACACCAUCAAUUUCUUCGCACCAGAUUCAGAAGCUUGCCUAAAAUGGCUUGACACCAAGGAAACAGGCUCAGUUGUUUAUGUAUCCUUCGGUAGUGUCUCGGACCUUGGAGAAAAUCAAAUGCAGGAAAUAGCAUGCGGCCUGAUGAAUAGCAACUGCAACUUCUUAUGGGUAGUUCGACCUUCUGAAGAGAGCAAAAUUCCUAGAGAUUUCAUGUCCGAGGCACAAGAAAGAGGUCUAAUCGUGAAUUGGUGCCCUCAAAUAAAGGUUUUGUCGCACAGGGCGGUGGGAUGCUUCAUGAGUCAUUGUGGUUGGAAUUCAACAAUUGAAGCAUUGAGCUUGGGUGUGCCAAUGGUGACCAUGCCAGUGUGGGUUGAUCAACCUACAAAUUCUAAGUAUAUUGUGGAUGUAUGGAAGGUAGGAUUGCGAGUUAAGGCGAGUGAGGAAGGGGAAAUGGUAACAAGAGAAGAAGUAGAAGGAACUAUAAGAGAAGUUAUGCAUGGGGAGAAGGCAAGUGAGCUUAGAAACAAUGCUUUGAGGUGGAAGGAGUUGGCUAAGGAGGCAAUUAGUGAAGGAGGAAGCUCAGACAAACACAUUGAAGAAUUUGUUUCGAGUCUUGAAAGCACUUAGUUAAAUUAAUAUCCAAUUUUCUUCACACAGUUUUCAAAUUUUAAUGAUCUGUUGUUAAUUUGAAAUUGCAAAUAACAGUCAACGUAUGCAUAGAUUAUCCUAAUUGACACUUCAAUUAGUAUUAACCUAUCCAUUGAAGUACUAAUGUAACUUUAAUUUAGAACUUCAAAUUCUUGGGACCUAAACCUUGAGUUGACACAUAAUUUACAAUCUCAGAAGCAAUAGUUGUAUGUGAGGCAAUUUUUUUUAUUUCAAUAGUUAAGUGCAUGAGUUGGUGUGUGUGGAUCGAAAUUGCUAUUUGAAUAGACAAGUCUCUAUAUUCAUAUGUUAUGUUAUUUUCUUAUUGAAUUUAGUUGAACUCGUGAAACAUAAGUCUUCAGAAGUAAUAACAAAACCAACCGACUAAAACUCAAAACCUGCAGAAGGUGCUCAACAACCAACCAAGAAGCACCGUACCUAGAGACUGCUACCUUAGCUAUUUACCUACUUACAUUUCAGGACUACGACUUUAUUUAUCUAUCUAUGUGAAUAAUAUGAGGUUGAAUAGUAAAAUUAUUCAGCAUCAACCUUCAAUUUGAACUACAACUAUGUCUAUUAUCCCUUAACUAUGGUUGCAUAAGCUUUGAUAAUUCUCUCGACUGAUUAUCUACUAUAAUAGUAUGCAAUAUUUUAUAUACACAUGGUAUGACAUUUUUGGCUACCAUUAAUAGUAUGCCUUGCCCAAUUGUCCAACAUUACCAAAUUAUUUAACAACACCACAGGUAUAAAUUGCCAUGCUUUGCAUGGGUCUUCUCCCUAGUAAUUAGAAUAAUAAAAACCAAGAUCACAAUAAUGUUUAUACUUACAUUCCAAAGUACCAAAACUCAUGGUACUUUUUAUAUAGUAAUGAUAAUGUUAAUGGUAAUACUAAUCUUUGUUUGUGACAUUAAGCAUUAUAAAGUUGAUCAUGAUUAUAGUUAAUUGUAGGACUUUAAAAAUUAGAAUUUGGUCUGGGGGCUAAUCAGCCUAAUCAAUGAUUUUAGUUAGGCCAAUAGAUAAUGGAGAUGCAAGUCACUUUCCUGAGUAGGUUGAAAUGCGCCUAAUCAAAGAAUUUUCCAUGUGUACAAACUCAUAGUACGCGCCAAAAUAUAAAAAAAGUUAACAAGCUUGUCGGUUUUGUACAUGUAUUCGCAACAUACUGAAGCAUCUGACUUAAUUUGUCUAGAUUCCCGACUCUUGGCAUUGUUACUCGUGAAACAGCACUUUGGCCAAAACCAUGGUCACGUCAACGGGUGGAAAGUUCCCUUUUCUGCCCACGGUAGGCAGAAGCAAAUGCGGAGGCCAACUGUGUUCUCCGGGGUUGGCACCAGAGAAAGUCAGGUUGUGCGUGGAUAAAAUAAUGCAAUACAUUUUAAAAUUACAAUAAAAACUUUUUAAAAAUUUGUUCAUCAUCUAAUGCCAAAGCAAAUAUUGUGGUAGGUUUUCGUUUUUAAUUGAGUUUGAUAUUUAAAAUAAUUGAAUCAUAAAUAUAAAAGGAAGAGUUGGAAACUUAGACAUGAUUAAAAUAAAAGGAGAUGUGGACUUUUGGUCCCCCAAUAUUUGGUCUAUGAGUUAAACUAGUCCCUGAUAUUUCGACCAAAAUAAAUAUGGUCCCAGAAGUUUUGACAACUAAUAGAAAAUUAGAAUAUCUAAUUGUCAAAAUCAAAUUAGAAUUAGUCAAAAGUUUUGAUUUUGUAGUUUUUGGUCCCUAAUAUUUGAAAAUUUAUUCAAUAUGGUCCCUUAUGUUUUAAAUAAUUAUAUUUCAAAUGAAAUAAAAUGUGACUUAGAUUAAAUGCAUAAAAAAAUGUGUUCUCAAAUCUCAUAAAAAUCCUUAAAUUGCUUCACAUUGUCAAUAUACUAUCAGUUAGCCUAAAGAGCAUCUCUUCGUUAAAUUAAUUACAAACAAAUGACAACACAUGAAUCAUAUAUAAAAGAAAAAUUAGUGGAAAAAAGAGAAUUUUAAUUUGAGGAUAUAGUAACUUUAAUUCUAAACAAUAUAACACAAAUUGUUGCAUGACUUGUGGAUCUAAGUUUCAAUCAAUUAUGGUUAGGCAUUGUGAUUGCAUUAACAAGUAAAGGUGAUUACUAAUAUGAAUGACUCAUGUGAAUUGUAAAAAUAUUUCUUGCUGUUUCUUCUUGUCUUUCCUUCAUAUUAAAUCAAAUAUUUCAAUAACACAAUUCAAUGUAUUAUAUUUACAUUCAUCUGACAUUGAUAAUUUUAUUGAAUAAUUUAAACAAUUAUAAAAUCUUUAUUUCAAUUGAAACUUAAUUGACAACUAGUUGAAAUGCCAAAAAAAAAAAAAGAAAACGAAAAAUAUUAUUCAAUCAACUCAACACCUAUAGUUGUUGAUAUUAUAAUAGGAUAUGUAAUUAACUGUUUUCAUUUAUCAAGUAUAAGUAUUGGGCAUUAGAUGAUGAACAAAUUUUUGAGAGGGCGUUUGUUGUGGUUUCAAAAUGUAUUGCGUUAUUUCAUCCACGCACAACCAGCUUUCUCCUAUACCUGAUGCAUCUUUUUGCUGUCCGUCUUUGUGCAUCCCCACAGAACACACAGUUGGCCUCCUUGCAUUGCCAUUUGCUCAAAAAUCAUUAAAAAUGUUUUUGGCCAGGCAUUAUAAUAUCGAUUCGAGAAAUUGAAGGCAAAGACACUUUUUGGAACUCCAACCUCAAUUUCUUUAUAAAACCCAAGCAGGAACAGAACAGGGAACACAUGGAUGAAAUUGGAUGUAGAAUUCAUGUUCUGGCCAUCCCAUCCCCACUCCAAGGCCACCUCAAUCCGAUGCUGCAAUUAUGCAAGCGUUUAACCUCGAAGGGUGUUAGAAUCACGCUAGUCACAAGCACCUCAGCACGUUUAUCGGUGCAAAAUCAGUUUGAAUCGAUCCAGAUCGAGUAUAUUCUAGACGAUGAUAACAUUGAAGCUGAGGGGUCAAAAUAUUCAGAGAAAACUACUGCCUUCUUGAAACGUUUUAAUACCGCAGUUUCAGACAAUUUGGCCAAGCUAGUCAAGGAAAAGGCGAGUUCUGGUCAUCCCGUGAAAACAGUUCUGUAUGAUUCAAUGAUGCCAUGGAUUUUGGAGAUAGUGCAGGGACAGCUAGGCCUUAAAGGGGCUGCGUUUUUCACUCAGGCUUGCGCUGUUUGCGCAAUAUUCAAUCAUAUUCAUCGAGGAACGUUGAAAGUUCCUCUAGAGACAUCUACCAUAUUGCUUCCUUCAAUGCCACAACUGGAGUCGGAUGAUCUGCCGUCUUUUGUUUAUAACCCUAGUCCAUACCCGGGUCAUUUGGAUGUUGUCCUCAGUCAGAAUAUAAACCUCGAGAAAUCAGAUUGGCUCUUGUUCAAUUCUUUUGACAAGCUAGAAAAUGAGGUAGAUUUCUCAUUCCAUAAAUAAUUGGAAUUUGGAAGUUCACCCAUUAGCAACAUUUUAUUUGACGCUGUUUAAAUUAAAUUACAUAUUGGCAAUACUUUUUGAAUCAUUGUUAGUGUCAGUUAAGUUCAUCCUUGGAAUUUGAUCAUUGGUAGACCAUAAGAUCUGUUUAUUUUGUUCAUAGCAAAAAUCACAUUGUACAAUUUCUAGUUAGUUAUUGCUAAUAAAAAAUAAAGUUAAUAAUUAAGAAACAAACGGCUUAUGUCAACUGUUUCGAAAAUCAGACCGGACCAAACCGGCUGUUUGAAUGGCUAAACUGCGAACCGAUAUUGGCACUGGUUAGGUUUUUUAUUAAACUAGAACAGGUAAGUGAACUGGUCAAUUCGGAUCAAGAAAUGGUUAAACCAGUCAAAACCAGAUGGUUGAACUAGUUUCCUCCUUUUUUUAAUUUUAUAUAUUUUGACGUUAUCCAAAUUACUUAGUACUAAAAUAAUUAAAAAAUAAUUAGAUGUUUAACCCAGGAUUGAUCAGGGUCCUCAUUCGGAUCACUCACAGAUCCGAGCUUAAAAGCAUAGCUCAUAUUAGGUAAGUCUACAUGUUAAUCUUUCAUACAUUUCAAUACAAUUGGCAUAGAUAAUCUUUUCAUAAAUUCAUGCUUCAAUUUUCUUAAUUGUCUUUUGGGGUCGGGACCUGAUUGAAUUUUGCUGUUUGGGAAAUAUUACAAUCUUUUUGCUUAAUCUCAACUAGGUAGUGACCUGGUUGACAGAACGGUAUCCAAUCAAGACCAUAGGCCCUUGUACUCCAUCCAUGUACACUGACAAGCGAUUGAAAGAUGACAAAGAUUACACCAUCAAUUUCUUCGCACCAGAUUCAGAAGCUUGCCUAAAAUGGCUUGACACCAAGGAAACAGGCUCAGUUGUUUAUGUAUCCUUCGGUAGUGUCUCAGACCUUGGAGAAAAUCAAAUGCAGGAAAUAGCAUGCGGCCUGAUGAAUAGCAACUGCAACUUCUUAUGGGUAGUUCGACCUUCUGAAGAGAGCAAAAUUCCUAG